rnacentral:rRNA from 1 species
UACGAGGGGGGCGAGCGUUGUUCGGAAUUAUUGGGCGUAAAGAGCUCGUAGGCGGUUUGGUAAGUCUGGUGUGAAAUCUCCACGCUCAACGUGGAGGGGCCACCCGAUACUGCCAUGACUGGAGUCCGGUAGAGGAGUGUGGAAUUCCCGGUGUAGAGGUGAAAUUCGUAGAUAUUAGGAAGAACACCGGUGGCGAAGGCGGCCCACUGGAUCGGUACUGACGCUGAGGUGCGAAAGCGUGGGGAGCAAACAGG